rnacentral:rRNA from 1 species
UACGUAGGGGGCAAGCGUUGUCCGGAAUUAUUGGGCGUAAAGGGCGCGUAGGCGGUGCCACAAGUCACCUGUGAAAUCUCCGGGCUUAACUCGGAGCCUGCAGGCGAAACUGUGGUGCUGGAGUGUGGGAGAGGUGCGUGGAAUUCCCGGUGUAGCGGUGAAAUGCGUAGAGAUGUGGAGGAACACCGAUGGCGAAGGCAGCCUUCUGGGCCAACACUGACGCUCAUGCACGAAAGCGUGGGGAGCAAACAGG